UGGACAGAUUAUUGUAUUCGACUGUAUUCACGACAUGAAACAUGGGAUUACUGUUUUUAAACGGAAAGUGAAUCAAUUAACAUAAUAGACUCCU
rfam:Nicotiana sylvestris Nsyl_contig76493, whole genome shotgun sequence.